UACGUAGGGCGCGAGCGUUAUCCGGAAUUAUUGGGCGUAAAGAGCUCGUAGGCGGUUUGUCGCGUCUGCUGUGAAAACUGGAGGCUCAACCUCCAGCCUGCAGUGGGUACGGGCAGACUAGAGUGCGGUAGGGGAGAUUGGAAUUCCUGGUGUAGCGGUGGAAUGCGCAGAUAUCAGGAGGAACACCGAUGGCGAAGGCAGAUCUCUGGGCCGUAACUGACGCUGAGGAGCGAAAGCAUGGGGAGCGAACAGG
rnacentral:rRNA from 1 species